CAGGCUUAACACAUGCAAGUCGAGGGGCAUCAGGAAGAAAGCUUGCUUUCUUUGCUGGCGACCGGCGCACGGGUGAGUAACACGUAUCCAACCUGCCCUUUACUCGGGGAUAGCCUUUCGAAAGAAAGAUUAAUACCCGAUAGCAUAAUGAUUCCGCAUGGUUUCAUUAUUAAAGGAUUCCGGUAAAGGAUGGGGAUGCGUUCCAUUAGGUUGUUGGUGAGGUAACGGCCCACCAAGCCUUCGAUGGAUAGGGGUUCUGAGAGGAAGGUCCCCCACAUUGGAACUGAGACACGGUCCAAACUCCUACGGGAGGCAGCAGUGAGGAAUAUUGGUCAAUGGGCGCUAGCCUGAACCAGCCAAGUAGCGUGAAGGAUGAAGGCUCUAUGGGUCGUAAACUUCUUUUAUAUAAGAAUAAAGUGCAGUAUGUAUACUGUUUUGUAUGUAUUAUAUGAAUAAGGAUCGGCUAACUCCGUGCCAGCAGCCGCGGUAAUACGGAGGAUCCGAGCGUUAUCCGGAUUUAUUGGGUUUAAAGGGAGCGUAGGUGGACUGGUAAGUCAGUUGUGAAAGUUUGCGGCUCAACCGUAAAAUUGCAGUUGAUACUGUCAGUCUUGAGUACAGUAGAGGUGGGCGGAAUUCGUGGUGUAGCGGUGAAAUGCUUAGAUAUCACGAAGAACUCCGAUUGCGAAGGCAGCUCACUGGACUGCAACUGACACUGAUGCUCGAAAGUGUGGGUAUCAAACAGGAUUAGAUACCCUGGUAGUCCACACAGUAAACGAUGAAUACUCGCUGUUUGCGAUAUACAGUAAGCGGCCAAGCGAAAGCAUUAAGUAUUCCACCUGGGGAGUACGCCGGCAACGGUGAAACUCAAAGGAAUUGACGGGGGCCCGCACAAGCGGAGGAACAUGUGGUUUAAUUCGAUGAUACGCGAGGAACCUUACCCGGGCUUAAAUUGCAGUGGAAUGAUGUGGAAACAUGUCAGUGAGCAAUCACCGCUGUGAAGGUGCUGCAUGGUUGUCGUCAGCUGGUGCCGUGAGGUGUCGGCUUAAGUGCCAUAACGAGCGCAACCCUUAUCUUUAGUUACUAACAGGUUAUGCUGAGGACUCUAGAGAGACUGCCGUCGUAAGAUGUGAGGAAGGUGGGGAUGACGUCAAAUCAGCACGGCCCUUACGUCCGGGGCUACACACGUGUUACAAUGGGGGGUACAGAAGGCAGCUAGCGGGUGACCGUAUGCUAAUCCCAAAAUCCUCUCUCAGUUCGGAUCGAAGUCUGCAACCCGACUUCGUGAAGCUGGAUUCGCUAGUAAUCGCGCAUCAGCCACGGCGCGGUGAAUACGUUCCCGGGCCUUGUACACACCGCCCGUCAAGCCAUGGGAGCCGGGGGUACCUGAAGUACGUAACCGCAAGGAUCGUCCUAGGGUAAAACUGGUGACUGGGGCUAAGUCGU
rnacentral:rRNA from 1 species